GUUGUCUUUAUAUUCCAGUGUGUGUGUGUGUGUAUCUGUGUGUGUAUGUGCCAUUGCGUGUAUCUGUGUGUCAAGUUGUCUUUAUAUUCCAGUGUGUGUGUGUGUGUGUAUCUGUGUGUGUAUGUGCCAUUGCGUGUAUCUGUGUGUCAAGUUGUCUUUAUAUUCCAGUGUGUGUGUGUGUGUCUGUGUGUGUAUGUGCCAUUGCGUGUAUCUGUGUGUCAAGUUGUCUUUAUAUUCCAGUGUGUGUGUGUGUGUGUGUAUCUGUGUGU